CCGGCACGGGUGAGUAACACGUAUGCAAUCCACCUGUAACAGGGGAGUAACCGGAGAAAUCCGGACUAAUACCCCAUAAUAUGGGCGCUCCGCAUGGAGAGCCCAUUAAAGAGAGCAAUUUUGGUUACAGACGAGCAUGCGCUCCAUUAGCCAGUUGGCGGGGUAACGGCCCACCAAAGCGACGAUGGAUAGGGGUUCUGAGAGGAAGGUCCCCCACAUUGGAACUGAGACACGGUCCAA
rnacentral:rRNA from 1 species